CCUUUGGGUUGCCCCAAGAUUUCAGUCUCGGUGGUGAAUUGAUUUCGUGAUUCUACGCAUAUGUUUGAUCUUUAGCCGAAGUAGGGUACACUCAGUGGAAGUUGUCUGUACAGAUGCUCCUGUCAAUUCACUGAAGAAUGCUGAAAGCAUGAAUGAGAAGAAUGUUGAGAACAAAUUAAUAAGGGUAGAAAAAUAUCCAAGAAAUAAAUACUUGUAUUUUCUGUGAA